rnacentral:rRNA from 1 species
CAAGUCGAGCGCACCCUUCGGGGCGAGCGGUGGACGGGUUAGUAACGCGUGGGAACAUACCCUUUUCUACGGAAUAGCCUCGGGAAACUGAGAGUAAUACCGUAUACGCCCUUCGGGGGAAAGAUUUAUCGGAGAAGGAUUGGCCCGCGUUAGAUUAGAUAGUUGGUGGGGUAAUGGCCUACCAAGUCUACGAUCUAUAGCUGGUUUCAGAGGAUGAUCAGCAACACUGGGACUGAGACACGGCCCAG